rnacentral:rRNA from 1 species
AGUGAACGCUGGCGGUAGGCCUAACACAUGCAAGUCGAACGGCAGCACAGUAAGAGCUUGCUCCUACGGGUGGCGAGUGGCGGACGGGUGAGGAGUACAUCGGAAUCUACUUUUUCGUGGGGGAUAACGUAGGGAAACUUACGCUAAUACCGCAUACGACCUACGGGUGAAAGCAGGGGAUCUUCGGACCUUGCGCGAUUGAAUGAGCCGAUGUCGGAUUAGCUAGUUGGCGGGGUAAAGGCCCACCAAGGCGACGAUCCGUAGCUGGUCUGAGAGGAUGAUCAGCCACACUGGAACUGAGACACGGUCCAGACUCCUACGGGAGGCAGCAGUGGGGAAUAUUGGACAAAGGGCGCAAGCCUGAUUCAGCCAUACCGCGUGGGUGAAGAAGGCCUUCGGGUUGUAAAGCCCUUUUGUUGGGAAAGAAAAGCAGCAGGUUAAUACCCCGCUGUUCUGACGGUACCCAAAGAAUAAGCACCGGCUAACUUCGUG